GGCAAACGUGUAAAAUAUUAAAGUUCAAAAAAUCUGAAAUAUGAUUUUCAAAGCCCUUACAAUUUGGAAUAAUAAUAAAUUGUUUGAGACAUUUUCGUUCUUAUGAAGUUUGUCACUAUUUGUUUACUGUACAACGAUAAAGUACGCCGAUCUAUUGCAAGAUUACACGACGCAUUACAUAAAAUUCAAAAUUGGAAUCUCUGAUCUUAUAUACUGAACCAUCGUAAACAUCAAUUGGUAUGCGUCAUCUCUCAACGGAAACUAUAGCUAUACAUAGAUAAAUGACACGGAAUUUGGUUUAUACGGCCUUGGAUAGCCGAAUCAAGCUACAGUUUGAUAAACUUCCUGGACCACCUCGUGUUGUUGCUGCUCUUCUAUAACCCCAC